rnacentral:rRNA from 1 species
AACGCGAAGAACCUUACCAGGCCUUGACAUCCCUUGCAGAGGUAUAGAGAUAUAUCCGAGGUUACCAAGGAGACAGGUGGUGCAUGGUUGUCGUCAGCUCGUGUCGUGAGAUGUUGGGUUAAGUCCCGCAACGAGCGCAACCCUUGUGAUAUGUUACUAACAUUGAGUUGAGGACUCAUAUCAGACUGCCGGUGAUAAACCGGAGGAAGGUGGGGAUGACGUCAAAUCAUCAUGCCCCUUAUGGCCUGGGCUACACACGUACUACAAUGGCGUCUACAAAGAGCGGCAAGCCUGUGAAGGCAAGCGAAUCUCAUAAAGGACGUCUCAGUUCGGAUUGAAGUCUGCAACCCGACUUCAUGAAGCUGGAAUCGCUAGUAAUCGCGAAUCAGCAUGUCGCGGUGAAUACGUUCUCGGGUCUUGUACACACCG